rfam:Cricetulus griseus cell line CHO-K1, whole genome shotgun sequence.
GCCUGGCUAGCUCAGUCAGUGGAGCAUGAGACUCUUAAUCUCAGGGUUGUGGGUUCAUACCCCAUGUUGGGUA